UAAAAAUAAGAAGAAUCACGAUAAAGCCGCUAACUUUAAUCUUUAAUGGUUAAAAUCCAUUUUUA